ACAGUUCGCUGAUUUUGUUCAAGCACUGUAACUUCAAUGGCUUUUUUUAUUAGACGUUCUCGAAUUUUUUUAGCAAAAGGCUUUACCAACCUCACAAAAAGAUACGAAACCACUGCCUUUCCUGAUAAUAACGAGGAGUUUAUUCAGCAGUGGGUUGAAUUUUUUGAAGAUCCUAAACUUAGAAAAGCCGGAAUUAUCCGCGGUUUAGAACAUGUAUUUGGUUACGAUAUUGUUCCUGGAAAACGAAUUAUAGAAGCUGCUUUUCGCUGUUGUCGCCGUUUAAACUUUUAUUCUCCAACUAUUAGAAUUUUUGAGGGUUUAGCUGAUAAAGUCGAAAAGCACGAUGAUUAUAUAGAAAUUGUUAAAGAAUUAGAGCCAGUUAUCAACGAACUUGGGCUUAAAACUCCAGAAUCACUGGGUUUUAAUAAAUUGACUCUCAUUCCCAAAUUUACUGAGGAAGGAAAAAAGAUUCCUUUUACCGAUAAAUGCUACUUGAGAUUUCCAGAUAAGGGAUAUUAAUAAAACAAAAUUGUUUUUA